rnacentral:hammerhead_ribozyme from 1 species
AUUCAACUGACGAGUCCGAAAUAGAACGAAACGCAUGUCAAACUGGAU